rnacentral:rRNA from 1 species
GAUGAACGCUGGCGGCGUGCCUAAUACAUGCAAGUCGAGCGAACGGACGAGAAGCUUGCUUCUCUGAUGUUAGCGGCGGACGGGUGAGUAACACGUGUAUAACCUACCUAUAAGACUGGGAUAACUUCGGGAAACCGGCGCUUAUACCGGAUGAUAUUUUGAACCGCAUGGUUCAAAAGUGAAAGUCGGUCUUGCUGUCACUUAUAGAUGGAUCCGGGCUGCAUUAGCUAGUUGGUAAGGUAACGGCUUACCAAGGCAACGAGGCAUAGCCGACCUGAGAGGGUGAUCGGCCACACUGGAACUGAGACACGGUCCAGACUCCUACGGGAGGCAGCAGUAGGGAAUCUUCCGCAAUGGGCGAGAGCCUGACGGAGCAACGCCGCGUGAGUGAUGAAGGUGUUCGGAUCGGAAAACCCUGUUAUUAGGGGAGAACAUAUGUGUAAGUAACUGUGCACAUAUUGACGGUACCUAAUCAAAAAGCCACGGCUAACUACGUG